rnacentral:misc_RNA from 1 species
GCGGAGGGAUCAUUACAGAGUUGCAAAACUCCCAAACCCUUUGUGAAUUCUACUCGCAACCGUUCUGGGUGCUCUUCGUUGCUUCGGCGCGGGUUGGGGUCCUGGUGCGCGACAGCGCCCGGGCGCCCCCCCGCGCCGGAGGGCCGAAGCCCCACAACACCAAAACUCUUCUGUCUUCAGCGUAUUCUCUGAGUGUGGAAACACAAAUGAAUCAAAACUUUCAACAACGGAUCUCUUGGUUCUGGCAUCGAUGAAGAACGCAGCGAAAUGCGAUAAGUAAUGUGAAUUGCAGAAUUCAGUGAAUCAUCGAAUCUUUGAACGCACAUUGCGCCCGCCAGCAUUCUGGCGGGCAUGCCUGUCCGAGCGUCAUUUCAACCCUCAAGAACCCCUCGCGGUUCUUGGUGUUGGGGCGCUACGGGGACCCCGAUCUCUCGGGGCGACCGUAGGCCCCCAAAUGCAGUGGCGGGCUCGUAGUGGUCCCGGGCGUAGUAGUUAUAUUCUCGCCCUGGGAGCCGCUGCGGGUGCUUCCGGCCAUCGACCGCUCCGCGAGGAGCAGCCGUACCACAAGGUUGACCUCGGAUCAGGUAGGACUACCCGCUGAACUUAAGCAUAUCAAUAAGCGGAGGAAAAGAAACCAACAGGGAUUGCCCUAGUAACGGCGAGUGAAGCGGCAACAGCUCGAAUUUGAAAUCUGGCUCCCUUUGGGGGUCCGAGUUGUAAUCUGCAGAGGAUGCUUCGGGCGAGGUUCCCACCGAGUUCCCUGGAACGGGACGCCACAGAGGGUGAGAGCCCCGUAUGGUGGGAGGCCAAGCCUGUGUGAAGCUCCUUCGACGAGUCGAGUAGCUUGGGAAUGCUGCUCUAAAUGGGAGGUAGACUUCUUCUAAAGCUAAAUACCGGCCAGAGACCGAUAGCGCACAAGUAGAGUGAUCGAAAGAUGAAAAGCACUUUGAAAAGAGGGUCAAACAGUACGUGAAAUUGUUGAAAGGGAAGCGCCUAUGGCCAGACUUGCGCCGGGCCGAUCAUUCAGCGGUCUCCGCUGGUGCACUCGGCCCGUUGCAGGCCAGCGUCGGCUGUCCUGGGGGGAUAAAAGCAGUGGGAACGUAGCUCCCUCCGGGGAGUGUUAUAGCCCGCUGCACAAUACCUCCGGGGCGGCCGAGGUCCGCGCCCUCGUGGCAAGGACGCUGGCGUAAUGGCCAUCAGCGACCCGUCUUGAAACACGGACCAAGGAGUCGAGGUUUUACGCGAGUGUUCGGGUGUCAAGCCCCAGCGCGUAAUGAAAGUGAACGUAGGUGGGAGCCUUCGGGCGCACCAUCGACCGAUCCUGAUGUCUUCGGAUGGAUUUGAGUAAGAGCGUAAAGCCUCGGACCCGAAAGAUGGUGAACUAUGCCUGUAUAGGGUGAAGCCAGAGGAAACUCUGGUGGAGGCUCGCAGCGGUUCUGACGUGCAAAUCGAUCGUCAAAAUAUGGGCAUGGGGGCGAAAGACUAA